rnacentral:rRNA from 1 species
AUUGAACGCUGGCGGCAGGCCUAACACAUGCAAGUCGAGCGAGUGGCGGACGGGUGAGUAAUGUCUGGGAAACUGCCCGAUGGAGGGGGAUAACUACUGGAAACGGUAGCUAAUACCGCAUACCAUCGGAUGUGCCCCGAUGGGAUUAGCUAGUAGGUGGGGUAACGGCUCACCUAGGCGACGAUCCCUAGCUGGUCUGAGAGCAUGACCGGCCACACUGGAACUGAGACACGGUCCAGACUCCUACGUGAGGCAUCAGUGGGGAAUAUUGCACAAUGGGCGCAAGCCUAAUGCAGCCAUACCGCGUGUAGGAAGAAGGCCUUCGGGUUGUAAAGUACUUUCAGCGGGGAGGCGUUACCCGCAGAAGAAGCACCGGCUAACUCCGUGCCAGCAGCCGCGGUAAUUC